CUGGCCUCCCUUCCAUGACCUAUGACCGAUGAUGACCUUUAGCUAGAGAAUGUGACAUUUUGUUCUCCUCUGGCUGACAUGUGAUGCCCUCAUUAUUCAAAGAUGUGAAGAGAAGAAGCUCUUUUGUAAGGUGGCAUAGAGGAUGGAUACUAAAGGAAGAGGGAAUCUGGAAAUACAGAACUCCAUUUGCAGGUGCUGGAUGAACUCCAGGUAUUUCAUGUUGCUUCUCUCCAUGAUGCCACCCAUCACUAGGCACAUUUUCCACACGGAGCCAGAAGAUUUAUAUCUGCAAAGAGAAUAUACUUCAGGGUACCUUAAUACACCUUCUCUCAUGCCUCUCACCACACUCUGUUUUUUCACUCUCUGGCAGACUGGGAACAUGUGCCAAGCAGUGUGUGUGCUGUUCUGAGGUAACCUGGAGCCAAGGUAUCCCACAAAGAUUCACCAGCACCAGCAACAUGAGCUCCAGCCUCACAUGGCCCCUUCCAGUUUGCCCACGCCAGGCCCUCGUGUUCCCACAGCAGAUGCCAGUGCCUUGUGUUUGCUGGCCACACAGAUACUCUGAGGGAGUACUUAGCUAUGCAGCUACAUACAUACUUGCAUUUGCUCAGCUGCUGGGUUCUUUGGGGGAUUAUUUUUUUUAUUUUUAUUUUUUAUUUAUUUAAUUUUUGUUUGGUUGGUUUUGGUUUUCUGGCUGUGUGUGCAUGUGUGUGUGUGUAUAUGUGUUUGUGUGUUCAAUAAUGGAACUUCCACUUGUAAUUUUUGUGGGAGUUGAAAGUUUGGUGGGGCAUUUCUCCCAAUGUGCCACACCAUGCUGUUUAUAGUAAAGUAAUAAAGUGUUGAGUCACUGAUUAAACA
rnacentral:lncRNA from 1 species